rnacentral:rRNA from 1 species
GACGAACGCUGGCGGCGUGCUUAACACAUGCAAGUCGAACGGUGAAGCGCCUUCCUUUUUGGUGGGUGUGGAUGAGUGGCGAACGGGUGAGUAACACGUGAGUAACCUGCCCCCUUCUUCUGGAUAACCGCAUGAAAGUGUGGCUAAUACGGGAUAUUCUGGGUCUGUCGCAUGAUGGGUCUGGGAAAGAUAUUGUUUCGGUGGGGGAUGGGCUCGCGGCCUAUCAGCUUGUUGGUGGGGUGAUGGCCUACCAAGGGGGUGACGGGUAGCCGGCCGGGGAGGGUGGCCGGUCACACUGGGACGGAGACACGGCCCAUACUCCUACGGGGGGCAGCAGUGGUGAAUAUGGCACAAUGGGCGCAAGCCUGAUGCAGCGACGCCGCGUGAGGGAUGGAGGCCUUCGGGUUGUGAACCUCUUUCGCCAGUGAAGCAGGCCUGCCUCGUUUGUGGGUGGGUUGACGGUAGCUGGAGAAGAAGCGCCGGCUAACUACGUG